AUUGAACGCUGGCGGCAUGCCUUACACAUGCAAGUCGAACGGCAGCACGGGAGCAAUCCUGGUGGCGAGUGGCGAACGGGUGAGUAAUAUAUCGGAACGUGCCCAGUCGUGGGGAUAACGUAGCGAAAGCUACGCUAAUACCGCAUACGAUCUAUGGAUGAAAGCGGGGGAUCGCAAGACCUCGCGCGAUUGGAGCGGCCGAUAUCAGAUUAGGUAGUUGGUGAGGUAAAGGCUCACCAAGCCGACGAUCUGUAGCUGGUCUGAGAGGACGACCAGCCACACUGGGACUGAGACACGGCCCAGACUCCUACGGGAGGCAGCAGUGGGGAAUUUUGGACAAUGGGCGCAAGCCUGAUCCAGCAAUGCCGCGUGCAGGAUGAAGGCCUCGGUUGUAACUGCUUUG
rnacentral:rRNA from 1 species